rnacentral:rRNA from 1 species
GGAAUAUUGCGCAAUGGGCGAAAGCCUGACGCAGCGACGCCGCGUGAAGGAUGACGGUCUUCGGAUUGUAAACUUCUGUUAAGUGGGAAGAAAGAGCGCUUUUUAAUAGAAAGCGCAGAUGACGGUACCAUUAGAGAAAGCACCGGCUACCUUCGUGCCAGCAGCCGCGGUAAUACGAGGGGUGCUAGCGUUAUUCGGAAUUAUUGGGCGUAAAGGGUGCGUAGACGGCGCAUUUAGUCUGCUGUUUAAUUCUCCGGCCUAACCGGAGGUCAGCGGUAGAUACUGAUGUGCUAGAGGGUGGAAGAGAGAAGUGGAAUUCUCGGAGUAGCGGUAAAAUGCGUAGAUCUCGAGAGGAACACCGAUGGCGAAGGCAGCUUCUUGGUCCAUUCCUGACGUUGAUGCACGAAAGCGUGGGGAGCAAAC